GAACUUCACUCAAUCGACGCGAGUAUCAGAAAUGAUAUGCGCGGUGUUCGAUACUGCAAUAGUUGCAUGGGCGAGUUAUGCCCCAUGAGCCGAGUGCAGAGCCACCGCCGCGUCCUUGAGUUUAUCAUUGA
ncrna:unclassified sequences RAGATH-4 RNA